AGAUGAUAAACAGAAGACUAGUACAGAAAGAUUUAUCACCCACAAGCAUUGUGAAUGCACCUGGGAUUCAAAACUAAUUUUGACGAAAGCCCCAUGGCCUGUUAGAUCUGCUUCAUAUACAAGACAUAGAAGGCAGCGUGAUGCAUACAGUGCAUUUAUGGAUCGUGUGGAAGAAAAGUUUACAAAGAUAUGCAAGAGCAGGUGUUGGUGUCCAGAGGAGAAAUGGAAGAAACAGGGGCAAAAAGCUCAGGUAACAGAGACUACUGUAAUCAGCCAUGACAUCCUCUGUGUGGCUGAUGUUCAAAUAGUGACUACUUAUGGAGGACAUUUUUGCGCAUUAUUCUCUGUCCUAGACAGAGGCCUCAUUUGGC
rnacentral:lncRNA from 1 species